rnacentral:rRNA from 1 species
UGACCUGCUAACUAGUCACGGCAAGCUUUUUCGGCUUGCCGGCAGAACUUCUUAGAGGGACAAUCUGUGUUUCCAGCAGAUGGAAGCUCGAGGCAAUAACAGGUCUGUGAUGCCCUUAGAUGUCCUGGGCUGCACGCGCGCUACACUGACGAACUCAACGAGUUUAUCACCUUGGCAGAGAUGUCUGGGUAAUCUUUUAAAAGUUCGUCGUGAUGGGGAUAGAUGAUUGUAAUUAUUCGUCUUGAACGAGGAAUUCCUAGUAAGUGUGAGUCAUCAGCUCGCGCUGAUUACGUCCCUGCCCUUUGUACACACCGCCCGUCGCU